GCCCUGGUGGCUCAAUUGGCUAGAGCGUGGGACUUUUAAUGGUAUCUUAUCUUCUCAGCAGACGUUAUCAGAUAACACAACAUCCCAAGGUUGCGGGUUCGACUCCCGCCUGGGGCG